rnacentral:rRNA from 1 species
AUGCCCACCGCCCCUUCUCCUCCUUGCUCCACCAGCCCUCCUCGACCAUCCCGCCGCCCCACCAUCGCCGCGCCCACCACCCCAGGUCCCAUCCCCAUGUCGCCGCCAUGGAGGAGAAGGUCUCGAGCUCCCGCUCGGCGGCGGCGGCGGUGGUGGUGUCGCUGUCGUUCGCGGUGGGGCGGGCGGCGACGUGUCCCGCGGCGAGUGGGUGUACGACGAGGCGGCGCGGCCGCUGUACCAGGAGGAGUGCCCCUACAUCUAGCUGCAGCUGACCUGCAAGGCGCACGGACGCCCCGACACCGCCUCCCGCCCUCCCGAGCUUGCGUGGCCACGCCUCCCACCCUCGCCGCGCGCGCCCCUCCGCCUUGGCCGCACGCGGCCCCUGCCAGAGCCUCCUCGCUGGCCCCCGCCCUCGCCGCGCGCCUCGCCCGGCCGCGCGCCGCCGCCGCGCGUCUGAGCCUCCUCACACGGACCCCCCGCGUUGGCCCCUUGCAGCGCGGCGUUCUCAACGAGGUGGCGCGCGGUCGUGUGUGGCAACGCGGGGGCCGAGCUCGUGGUGGCGCACGUCAACGGGGCGCUCGCGGACGUGAACUUCGCCGACACCGAUGCCUCGAUGGGGCCGAGCUCGUGGUGGCGCAUGUCGGCGCGGCGCUCGCGGACGUGGACUUCGCCGACGCCGACGCCUCGCUAGGGCGGAUCCAGGUGCCGUUCGAGCACGGGCUCGCGCUGUCGCUGCAGCUCCUCCGGUUCGCGUGCAGCGGGUUCUCGCUCACCUGGGGCACCGACCACCUGCUCGUUGACGGCCACAGCCUCACCACGCUGCCCAAUGCCUGGGCUGAGAUGCUCGUCGCAGGCGGCCUCCGAGCCACACCACGAUCGCGUCUCCCUCUUCCGGCCCCUACGACCCGGGCGCAGAGGUGCGGGCGGAGCGACAGCAGCACGGCGCCGAUGCGCGCGCGGGCGCUCCUAGGACCGUUCCUUGUGGGCGGCAACGAGGAGGCCAGCUUCGGGUGGCCCAACGUGGUGGUGGCGGUGUGGUGGAGUGGGGGAGAUGAGAGCAGUGGCGCAUGGGGAAGAAGACUAGGAUGA